GACGGGGGGGGCAAGUGUUCUUCGGAAUGACUGGGCGUAAAGGGCACGUAGGCGUGAAUCGGGUUGAAAGUGAAAGUCGCCAAAAAGUGGCGGAAUGCUCUCGAAACCAAUUCACUUGAGUGAGACAGAGGAGAGUGGAAUUCGUGUGUAGGGGUGAAAUCCGUAAAUAUACGAAGGAACGCCAAAAGCGAAGGCAGCCUCUCUGGGUCCCUACCGACCGCU
rnacentral:rRNA from 1 species